rnacentral:rRNA from 1 species
UACGGAGGAUGCAAGCGUUAUCCGGAAUGAUUGGGCGUAAAGCGUCCGCAGGUGGCAAUGUAAGUCUGCUGUUAAAGAGUCUAGCUCAACUUCGUAAAGGCAGUGGAAACUACACGGCUAGAGUGCGUUCGGGGCAGAGGGAAUUCCUGGUGUAGCGGUGAAAUGCGUAGAGAUCAGGAAGAACACCCGUGGCUAAGGCGGUUCUCUAGUACGGUACUGACGCUGAGACGCGAAAGCGUGGGGAGCGAACAGG